rnacentral:rRNA from 1 species
CUUGGUGAUUAUGGAGAAGGGGGUACACCUAAACCCAUUCCGAACUUAGAAGUUAAGCCCUUCAUCGCCGAUGGUACUGCAUUCAAGAGUGUGGAAGAGUAGGUCGUCGCCAAGU